AAGAAGCUGCGUAGCUAACAUGGCUACAGGCUCUGAAGCCAGAACAAAGAAGGCUCCCUGCCAAGGUCAAGGAGGAGUCUUAGAAAGCUA